GUGGGGAAUAUUGGACAAUGGGCGAAAGCCUGAUCCAGCCAUGCCGCGUGUGUGAAGAAGGUCUUCGGAUUGUAAAGCACUUUAAGUUGGGAGGAAGGGCAGUAAGCUAAUACCUUGCUGUUUUGACGUUACCGACAGAAUAAGCACCGGCUAACUUCGUGCCAGCAGCCGCGGUAAUACGAAGGGUGCAAGCGUUAAUCGGAAUUACUGGGCGUAAAGCGCGCGUAGGUGGUUUUGUAAGUUGAAGGUGAAAUCCCCGGGCUCAACCUGGGAACUGCCUCCAAAACUGCAUGACUAGAGUACGGUAGAGGGUAGUGGAAUUUCCUGUGUAGCGGUGAAAUGCGUAGAUAUAGGAAGGAACACCAGUGGCGAAGGCGACUACCUGGACUGAUACUGACACUGAGGUGCGAAAGCGUGGGGAGCAAACAGGAUUAGAUACCCGUGUAGUCC
rnacentral:rRNA from 1 species